rnacentral:lncRNA from 1 species
CGGUGGUGUGUUAGUGUUUCGAUGGAGUUGGGAUUCUGUGGUGAUUGUAGGUUAGUGGGAGAAAAAUAAAGGGUAUGUUAGAUAUCUAUUUUUCUUCUUUUCCAAAUUUUAAUUAAUUUUUCCUCUUCUUCCAAAAAUUGAACGUCAAUUUCUGUUUCUCUUUUUUUUUCUGUCAAAUUCUUUUUUCUUGUUUUUUUUUUAUUUUUGUCUUCCUGUUAAUUUCGGUGUUUUUGGCUUAUUGCUUUCAUGCGUUGUGGUAAGCGGUGGUAAGGUUUUACUCGGGUUAAGAGGGGGUUUUCUUUUAGUUCUGUUUUAAAGAUAUUUUUUUGUUAGUUCAAUUUUUGGGUUUUGCCAGCAACGAAUCGCGAAGAUCGGGGCUCUCCUCUUGUGGAAUCGUAGUUGAAAAUGUUCAGAGUGUGAAUUGAACUAUUUUU